CCUACGGGCGGCAGCAGUGAGGAAUAUUGGUCAAUGGACGCAAGUCUGAACCAGCCAUGCCGCGUGCAGGAAGACGGCCCUCUGGGUUGUAAACUGCUUUUAGUCGAGGGUAAACCUGAAUCCGUGUAUUCAGCAUAGAGUGCUGUACGAGUAAGGAGCGGGUAACUCCGUGCAACAAGCCGCGGUAAUACGGGGGAUCCAAGCGUUAUCCGGAUUUAUUGGGUUUAUAGGGUGCGUAGGCGGAUUGAUAAGUAAGAGGUGAAAUGUUCGAGCUUAACUCGGGAAUUGCUUCUAAUACUGUGGACCUAGAGAGUACACGCGGUAGCCGGAAUGUAUGGGGUAGCGGUGAAAUGCUUAGAGAUCAUAAAGAACACCGAUUGCGAAGGCAGCUGACCAAUCUAUAUCUGACGUUGAGGCACGAAAGCGUGGGGAGCAAACAGGAUUAGAUACCCGAGUAGUC
rnacentral:rRNA from 1 species